rnacentral:rRNA from 1 species
AUUGCACGCUGGCGGCAGGCCUAACACAUGCAAGUCGAACGAGUGGCGGACGGGUGAGUAAUGUCUGGGAAACUGCCUGAUGGAGGGGGAUAACUACUGGAAACGGUAGCUAAUCCCGCAUACCAUCGGAUGUGCCCAGAUGGGCUUAGCUUGUUGGUGGGGUGAUGGCUGACCACGGCGACGAUCCCUAGCUGGGCUGAGAGGAUGACCAGCCACACGGGAACUGAGACACGGUCCAGACGCCUACGGUAGGCAGCAGUGGGGAAUAUGGCACAAGGGGCGCAAGCCUGAUGCAGCCAUGCCGCGUGGAUGAAGAAGGCCUUCGGGUUGUAAAGUACUUUCAACGGGGAGGCGUUACCCGCAGAAGAAGCACCGGCUAACUCCGUGCCAGCAGCCGCGGUAAUAC